rnacentral:rRNA from 1 species
GACGAACGCUGGCGGCGUGCCUAAUACAUGCAAGUAGAACGCUGAAGGAGGAGCUUGCUUCUCUGGAUGAGUUGCGAACGGGUGAGUAACGCGUAGGUAACCUGCCUGGUAGCGGGGGAUAACUAUUGGAAACGAUAGCUAAUACCGCAUAAGAGUAGAUGUCGCAUGACAUUUGCUUAAAAGGUGCAAUUGCAUCACUACCAGAUGGACCUGCGUUGUAUUAGCUAGUUGGUGAGGUAACGGCUCACCAAGGCAACGAUACAUAGCCGACCUGAGAGGGUGAUCGGCCACACUGGGACUGAGACACGGCCCAGACGCCUACGGGAGGCAGCAGUAGGGAAUCUUCGGCAAUGGACGGAAAUCUGACCGAGCAACGCCGCGUGAGUGAAGAAGGUUUUCGGAUCGUAAAGCUCUGUUGUAAGAGAAGAACGAGUGUGAGAGUGGAAAGUUCACACUGUAACGGUAUCUUACCAGAAAGGGACGGCUAACUACGUG